CGGCGGACGGGUGAGUAACGCGUGGGUAACCUGCCUCAUACAGGGGGAUAACAGUUAGAAAUGGCUGCUAAUACCGCAUAAGCGCACAGGACCGCAUGGUCUGGUGUGAAAAACUCCGGUGGUAUGAGAUGGACCCGCGUCUGAUUAGCUAGUUGGAGGGGUAACGGCCCACCAAGGCGACGAUCAGUAGCCGACCUGAGAGGGUGACCGGCCACAUUGGGACUGAGACACGGCCCAA
rnacentral:rRNA from 1 species